GAAAAAGAUAGGGGGAGGGUGAUGCCAGAAGAUCAGCCCUGAGUGCUUCUUCACUCACCUGAAAGGCUUGGGAGCUAAGAGGAAAGGAUGGGCUGUUCUCUGCUGCCCUCCCCCACUGUCCGGCCAGGACACCUGGGAAAGAUAAAGUGAAGGGCCAAACCCUUCAUUGAAGUACCCUUCACCAAAGUAUCUGUGUGGUGGGCGUUAGUAAGGGGCUGGCCCCACAAAGCACACAGCCAGGGUGCAGAACAAGAUGGUUCAGCCCAUAGAUGCUGCCAAGGGGUCGAGGGCCGAGGCAGAUCAGAACCCUCCGAAGACCACCCAGAGCAGGUACUGAGCCUGCAACUUGACCCCACCAGGUCCUGCCAGGACCCUUGGCAGCCCCCAACGUGAGAGCAUGGCCAAGUGUUAAAAGCAGAGGCUCACAGAGCAGCCCAGGAGACUCUGCAAGUUCCCAGGGCCGGGUCUACUGGCCUUGGACUUUACUCGUGCAGGCGCUUGCCUCAGAGCCCCUUACCUUUUGGGGGUCUUAGGCGGCAGGUAAGAGGGUCUCCUUCCCGGACAUCCUAGGAGGUAACUGGAGAGCAGAAGCUAGACGAGAGGGUAGGGGUAACCUGUUCUUAAAGGCAGGAAGUCCUGGGACCAGCGCUGGCAGGUGUUUUAGGCGUCAGGGACGGCCCUGGUCGCAUUGCCUGGCGCAUCGCAGCACUCAGGCAGGUUGGAAAGACGGUCCCCCUACCCCACCCCUCCAGCCACUCCUCUCAGUGAUGCCUCCUCCGUGAGUCUUCUUGGCCUCAGGAAUUGCUCCCUUGCCUGGGAACUACCACGCGGUCUAGAGAGACCGUGGGCUAUCGAAGAGUCUGGCCCGGGGUUGGCCCUGCCCGUCACUCCAGGAGGAUGGACAGAUGCAGGGACAGAAAGAGGGACUGGAGUUCACCUAGAGGUUUCUUAUUAACUGUCCCCGACCAGCUAAUUCCACCGCUUGUCUUCAAAGCUCUCUGCGCCGGGAGGCUGAGUCCGAGGACGGCGGGCGGAGGCGGGAAGAGUCGAGACCCCAGGUUAUGGAACGGCGCGGAGACAGUGGCCACAGGGAGCGGGAACUCGGGUGCUGAAAGCAGUCCUGGAGGGCUGCGCGGGGGCGAGGCCGAGACCACUCCCUCCUACUUCCCCGACGUUAUUUCCUGGGAGGAGUCGGAGCUGGCGGCCAGCGAGCAGAGAGAUUCCCGGAUCCCUCCUCCAGAGUAUGCAGCACGGGGGCGAGUGGUCCCUGAGCGCGCGCCAGGACCGUUUGGCCUUGAAUCAAGGCGCUAGGGCUGCGGAAAGUCUAGUACGACCUCUAAGGGCGUCCGCGAUGGCCGUCGCAUGUCGGCUCGUUGGUCUAGGGGUAUGAUUCUCGCUUCGGGUGCGAGAGGUCCCGGGUUCAAAUCCCGGACGAGCCCUACUUUGGUUUUUGCGGAGACGAGAGCGUGCCCUAAGGUGCUUGUUAUUGGAACGGCGCUGCGGAGGCUCGACUGGGAAGUGAUAAGAGCGAACCGAGUGCUUCAAGGAGGAGGGCAGUAAGGUCUCUUGUUUUGAGUGGAUACCCCGGUGGCAGGAAGAGGCUCACAGUGCACGGUCCUUCCUAGUGUGCCAGGAAGAACGCAGGCACCUCCAGACUUGGCCAAGACAUUCACUUUCUGCUCCCCUCCUUCCUGCUGGGUGCUUCUCCUGUGCCACCAGAGCCUGGUUUCGGUUUGAUUGAUGCCUGUCAACCUAUAGUAGUGGAUGACAGGUCGUGAAAUGAAGUGAGACCUCUUCAGGGUGGUGUUUGUGAGACCCCAGGGACUUUCAGGACUCAGGUCUUUGCAGCCUUGCAGCCCGUCUGUCUCUCGGUCACUCCUGCUCGUUACUACCCUUCUGGGGACUCACGCUCAGGUAGGGUCUAGAACGCGCAUGGUUUUCGGGACAGCAUUUCGUAGCGCUCGGAAGGACAGAAUCCUCAGGAACCUUGCCGGUAGCGCGCUGAGUGAAGGUAUCAGAUCUAGCGUUUGGGGAGGUGUUUCGCUAGCUCAGUCCUCGUUAGUAUAGUGGACUUAGAUACGUCGGCAGAGUCGUGGCCUGGGAGAUGUAACUUGGGGUCUGAACCAGAGCCCAGCAAGGGGUAAACGCGAGGAAGGCCGAGACACAACGGCUGCGGUCUGCGGGGCACGCACGUGUGAGCGGCGCUCGGCUCCCAUCACCGCCGGUGCGCUCCAGUCACCCCACGAGAGACUGUGUGAUUCUACCCAGUCGACAGAGGGGGAAACCAAGGUCCAGAGAAGUUAAGUGAAGGGGUUUUCUGGCAGAGCUGGGAUUCAACCGUAAGAUUUUCUAGGGGCCCAGAUCUGCAUCGACAUAAUGGCUCUAUCAUCCCCCAAAAUAAAUCCCGAACACAUAAAAUCGCUUCUCUGUUGCGUGACCUCAGUGUGUCCCAAGAUUAAAGAAUCGGGCCUUAAACCAAGUGCGCCCAAGCCCAAUUUGUCCAGAGGAGGAUGUUUAAUUCCCUUGUGCGCGCGCAUCUAGUCUGCCAGCCGCUCUGAGAAACACGUGGACAAAAAUCUUCGGGGCGAGGUCUGAGAAUCAAACUCCGCCCCUAUUGCUGAUGAUGUGUCUGUUCACGAGACCCGUCAAGCGGCGGCCUCCAGAAGGCCUCGUGGCGCAACGGUAGCGCGUCUGACUCCAGAUCAGAAGGUUGCGUGUUCAAAUCACGUCGGGGUCAAAAGGUCAUUUGUUUUCCGUAUCUGGAUAGACUGACUCGCUGUAAGAUAUUUCAAUAAAGAAAAAAGCACCUGCUUUUACUAUAUGAGGAAAAUAUGAACCUGAGUGUUUCUGUGUUUUUUUUCCUAAAGUUACAUGAAUUUUCCCCUAAAACAAAAAUUUUAGAACUUUUCACCUUACUGUUUCCGUAAAAUCAAUUAAAAUAACCUUUCAUCUCAUGGAUGUUUUAGGUAUGCUAACACAGAAAUUGUUUCCAAACAGCCCCCAAUUCUUGUUCCUAAAAUGUAUGUGGAGC
rnacentral:lncRNA from 1 species